AAGGAGGAGGUCACGUGAGCACACAGUGAGAAGGCGGAGGACCAUCUGCAAGCAGGAAGAGAGCCCUCGCUAGAACCCCCCACGGUGGCAUCUGAUAGUGGACUUCUAGCUUCCAGAACUAUUCUUCUUGGACAUCAGCUGACUUAACCAUUGAGGAAAUAAAUGAACAUCUAUUGAGCACCUGUUAUGUGCUGAUGCUUGCUCACUACUUGUUUCAUUUGGCUUUACUGGAUUCUUAUGACAAUUCUUUAAAAUGUGUGUAAUCAUUAAUAUUACCUUCAUUGCAGAACUAAGAAAACUGACUCAGAAUGAGAACUCAUAAAUGUCACAUCAGGCUGCCUCUUGGUGAAUUUUUAAUCAACGGGGAGAAUUUCAGCUACAAAUAGACCAAGAAUCAAGAGGCCCACUAUUGAUCGGUCAAAGUGGCACUUAUGAACCUGAGGUUGAAGCAGUUUGGAUAAAAGGAUUCUGGGCUUUCGAUGGCCCCAGAGACAUCUUUUUCCAUCAAGUCCAGGCUUGCUGAUCGGUACAGCUGAGAACAUGUUGAAUUUGAUGUGCCUGUGGAUAUUUGAGUCUGGAACAUUGAAGACAAGUUUGGUCUGGAGAUGUAGACUGGGGAUAUCUCAGCACACAGAUGAUAACUGAAAUGAUGGAGCGGAUGAUAUAAACUGGAGAGAGUCUGGUGUGGGAAGAGUCUUCCCUGAGGUGGCCGAAAGAUGUAAUUCUUACUCCAAAGACUGAAAUAGAGACAAGAGAAGCUGAAGUUACAGGGUUUUGUCAUUGGGAAGACAGUAGAGUGUGUCAUAUCCCAAGAGUGAAGCAAGGACAAACCAAAGAACAACUGGGAAGAUCUGGGAGAAAAAGGGUGAGUGCAGUGGCUAGAAGAAGGGGGAGAAGUUUAUGUGAGGAGCAAAAAACUGGGAGGAGUGAGUGGCUCUGGAUAUUGUCCUUAAAGAAGCUCCAGACUCAAGAGGCCCUUUCACGUGACGGCUGACGUGUGCUUGUAAGGUGGUCGUGGGCACUUUGAAAGGUAGUACUGGGCUGGACUCUAUUAUUCCUAACAUUGCCAGGUGAUCCUUGUGAGGCUAGCUUACAUGGAAAAGGCCUUCAGAUUUUUGUGCUUUGUUGAGCACAUUGUGUUCUGCCUUAGUUUCUCCAAGGUCCUCAUUUUUUUUUUCUUUUUUUCAAGAGACAGGGUCUUACUUUGUUGCCAAGGCUGGCUUCAAACUCCUGACUUCAAGAGAUCCUCCCACCCCACCCACCCAAAGUGCUGGGAUUACAGGUGUGCGCCACUGUGCCUAGCGGGUCAUCAGUCUUUGAGAUGCUGUUGACAAAGCCAUUUGAUGAUAUCAAAGAAGGAAUGAAGCAUAAGGUUUUUUGGCCCCUCUGCUUGGGAUGCCACUUGCAGGCAGAACUCUCCACAGUUUUACCAUCCAGUGAAGAAUCACCUGUUUAUAGCCUGUGUAAAAUCAAUGAUGCUUCUUGGAAACAAGUCUAUUCUCAUAGACAGC
ensembl:lncRNA novel transcript